rnacentral:rRNA from 1 species
AGGGUUCCUACUUCCUUAAGACCGGGGGCGGGUAGUCAACUGCUUGCGUACGGAACGAAAGGACUCCUUCUAAUAAAGGGGGUUCAUGACGGUACCGUAAGAAUAAGCACCGGCUAACUACGUGCCAGCAGCCGCGGUAAUACGUAGGGUGCAAGCGUUAAUCGGAAUUACUGGGCGUAAAGCGUGCGCAGGCGGUUAUAUAAGACAGAUGUGAAAUCCCCGGGCUCAACCUGGGAACUGCAUUUGUGACUGUAUAGCUAGAGUACGGCAGAGGGGGAUGGAAUUCCGCGUGUAGCAGUGAAAUGCGUAGAUAUGCGGAGGAACACCGAUGGCGAAGGCAAUCCCCUGGGCCUGUACUGACGCUCAUGCACGAAAGCGUGGGGAGCAAACAGGAUUAGAUACCCUGGUAGUCCACACCCUAAACGAUGUCAACUGGUUGUUGGGAAUUCACUUUCUCAGUAACGAAGCUAACGCGUGAAGUUGACCGCCUGGGGAGUACGGCGCAAGGUUGAAACUCAAA